UACGAAGGGGGCUAGCGUUGUUCGGAAUUACUGGGCGUAAAGCGCGUGUAGGCUGCUUCGCAAGUCGGGUGUGAAAGCCCUGGGCUCAACCUAGGAAGUGCACUCGAAACUGCGAAGCUUGAGUCCUGGAGAGGAAGGCGGAAUUCUCGGUGUAGAGGUGAAAUUCGUAGAUAUCGAGAGGAACACCGGUGGCGAAGGCGGCCUUCUGGACAGUGACUGACGCUGAGACGCGAAAGCGUGGGGAGCAAACAGG
rnacentral:rRNA from 1 species